GACGAACGCUGGCGGCGUGCUUAACACAUGCAAGUCGAACGGAAAGGCCUGCUUUCCCUUGUGGAUUGCGGGUACUCGAGUGGCGAACGGGUGAGUAACACGUGAGUGAUCUGCCCCCAACUUGGGUAUAAGCCUGGGAAACUGGGUCUAAUUCCCGAUAGGACUGCAGGGUGGUGCCUGUGGUGGAAAACGAUUUUCUAGUGGUUGGGGAUGAGCUCGCGGCCUAUCAGCUUGUUGGUGGGGUAAUGGCCUACCAAGGCGGCGACGGGUAGCCGGCCUGAGAGGGUGGACGGCCACAUUGGGACUGAGAUACGGCCCAGACUCCUACGGGAGGCAGCAGUGGGGAAUAUUGCACAAUGGGCGGAAGCCUGAUGCAGCGACGCCGCGUGGGGGAUGACGGCCUUCGGGUUGUAAACUCCUUUCGACCGCGAGGAAGCCACCUGGUUGGAAGGGUGGUGACGGUAGUAGUAGAAGAAGCACCGGCUAACUACGUG
rnacentral:rRNA from 1 species